ensembl:lncRNA
UCCACAGCAAGAUAAACGCCAGAAGAGGCAAGUUGAGGCAAUUAACCGCAAAAUCAAGCGAAAUUGAACUGCUUAUGGAGAAUGUUUGCAACGUGAAUGAUGUUGAAAACCACCAAUUUAAAGUCUACAAACGGCUGUUUGAAGAAUUUGUUGAAAGUAAUGCAUCAGUGUUGCUGUAUUUAAAAGAUGAAGAGCAUGAUGCCGAUCAGGAUUUCUGGUUUCAGCCUAAACUAAUCUGCUGCAAACAAUUCAUUGAAAAAGUGGAGUUGUGGAUUGAGGAAACCAAGAAGUGCAUUAAGAUGUCUCAAAUUUGUGACGAUGUCACACCAAUGGACAGUGUGUCAAUGGUGUCUUCCAAGACUAUCACUUCUAAUAAGUCAGGAAGUGGAGCAACGUCUGUUUCCAAAAAAUCCUCAAUAUCCACAGCAUCCUCAGCUCGUCUUAAGGAAGAAGCUAACAGAGCAGCUUUGUUGGCUAAAGCAGCCAGUUUGAAGGAAAGGCAGGAAUUGGAAAUGAAAGAAGCACAGUUAAAGGCUGAAAUGGAAAAGUUGGAAAUAGAAACGGCUCUUGCUAUGUCUAAUGCCAAAAUUAAAGUGUAUCAAGAUUGCGAAGAACAACAACAGUGUGCAAGUCAAAUCGGGGCUGUCCAAGCAGCUGAUGUGUGCAUUCCAAACCACGAACAUUAUGAAUAUGAUCAAUAUAGUGUAACAUCAAAUCACAGCAAAAAGUCAUCGCAUCCUGAAGUAAUUUACUCAAGUAUACCUGUAAGUGUCAGACCUAAGAAACCAAAUACUGCUAAGGAAUGGUCGGCACCAGUCAAUGAAGUAGCUGGCCGUAAUAAUGAUACUUCAGAACUUCAAAAAGUGAUGAAACGUCAGACAGAUAUCACAGCAAUGCUAGUGAAGAAUCAACAGAUGUCUUGUCUACCUCAACGUGAUAUUCCUUUGUUUCAUGGAGAUCCACUUGAGUUCAGGUCUUUUAUGAAAGCGUUCAAACAUGCUGUUGACUCCAGAGCUGACAGUAGUGCUGACAAGUUGUACUUCCUGGAGCAGUAUACAAGAGGUGAGCCCAGAGACCUUGUAA